GGGGAUGUAGCUCAGAUGUAGAGCGCAUGCUUUGCAUGUAUGACGUCCUGGGUUCAAUCCCCAGCUUCUCCA
rnacentral:tRNA from 1 species